rnacentral:rRNA from 1 species
GAUGAACGCUGGCGGCGUGCCUAAUACAUGCAAGUCGAGCGAACGGACGAGAAGCUUGCUUCUCUGAUGUUAGCGGCGGACGGGUGAGUAGCACGUGGAUAACCUACCUAUAAGACUGGGAUAACUUCGGGAAACCGGAGCUAAUACCGGAUAAUAUUUUGAACCGCAUGGUUCAAAAGUGAAAGACGGUCUUGCUGUCACUUAUAGAUGGAUCCGCGCUGCAUUAGCUAGUUGGUAAGGUAAUGGCUUACCAAGGCAACGAUGCAUAGCCGACCUGAGAGGGUGAUCGGCCACACUGGAACUGAGACACGGUCCAGACUCCUACGGGAGGCAGCAGUAGGGAAUCUUCCGCAAUGGGCGAAAGCCUGACGGAGCAACGCCGCGUGAGUGAUGAAGGUCUUCGGAUCGUAAAACUCUGUUAUUAGGGAAGAACAUAUGUGUAAGUAACUGUGCACAUCUUGACGGUACCUAAUCAGAAAGCCACGGCUAACUACGUG